rnacentral:rRNA from 1 species
CUAGGACGAACGCUGGCGGCAUGCCUAACACAUGCAAGUCGAACGGAGUAAUGACUUCGGUUAUUACUUAGUGGCGAACGGGUGAGUAACACGUGAAUAAUCUGCCCUGUACGAUGGGAUAACAGCUGGAAACGGCUGCUAAUACCGUAUAUGACCACGCCGAGGCAUCUCGGAGGGGUGAAAGCGCUUAAGCGGUACAGGAUGAGUUCGCGUCCAAUUAGCUAGUUGGUGAGGUAACGGCCCACCAAGGCGACGAUUGGUAGCCGACCUGAGAGGGUGAUCGGCCACACUGGAACUGAGACACGGUCCAGACUCCUACGGGAGGCAGCAGUGGGGAAUAUUGGGCAAUGGAGGAAACUCUUACCCAGCCAAUGCCGCGUGAGUGAUGAAGGUCUUCGGAUUGUAAAGCUCUUUGAUUGGGGACGAAUAAAUGACGGUACCCAAGGAACAAGCCCCGGCUAACUAUGUGCCAGCCGCUGC